rnacentral:rRNA from 1 species
UGCAAGUCGAGCGGGCACCUUCGGGUGUCAGCGGCAGACGGGUGAGUAACACGUGGGAACGUACCCUUCGGUUCGGAAUAACGCUGGGAAACUAGCGCUAAUACCGGAUACGCCCUUAUGGGGAAAGGUUUACUGCCGAAGGAUCGGCCCGCGUCUGAUUAGCUAGUUGGUGGGGUAACGGCCUACCAAGGCGACGAUCAGUAGCUGGUCUGAGAGGAUGAUCAGCCACACUGGGACUGAGACACGGCCCAGACUCCUACGGGAGGCAGCAGUGGGGAAUAUUGGACAAUGGGCGCAAGCCUGAUCCAGCCAUGCCGCGUGAGUGAUGAAGGCCUUGGGGUUGUAAAGCUCUUUUGUCCGGGACGAUAAUGACGGUACCGGAAGAAUAAGCCCCGGCUAACUUCGUGCCAGCAGCCGCGGUAAUACGAAGGGGGCUAGCGUUGCUCGGAAUCACUGGGCGUAAAGGGCGCGUAGGCGGCCAUUC